GGAGGGCGGCUCUGUGGCAGAGCGAGGUAAACACCUUGGGGUAGGUUCAAAUCCUACCGCCCUCCA
rnacentral:tRNA from 1 species